GAUGAAGAACGCAGCGAAAUGCGAUAAGUAAUGUGAAUUGCAGAAUUCAGUGAAUCAUCGAAUCUUUGAACGCACAUUGCGCCCGUCAGUAUUCUGGCGGGCAUGCCUGUUCGAGCGUCAUUACGCCCCUCAAGUCCCCUGUGGACUUGGUGUUGGGGAUCGGCGAGGCUGGUUUUCCAGCACAGCCGUCCCUUAAAUUAAUUGGCGGUCUCGCCGUGGCCCUCCUCUGCGCAGUAGUAAAACACUCGCAACAAGAGCCCGGCGCGGUCCACUGCCGUAAAACCCCCCAACUUUUUAUAGUUGACCUCGAAUCAGGUAGGACUACCCGCUGAACUUAAGCAUAUCAAUAAGCGGAGGA
rnacentral:misc_RNA from 1 species